rnacentral:rRNA from 1 species
UACAGAGAGUGCAAACGUUGUUCGGAAUUACUGGGCUUGAAGCGCACGUAGGCGGCGUUGUAAGUGUCGGGUGAAAUCCCACGGCUCACCCGUGGAACUGCCCGGCAUACUGCGAUGCUAGAGUGUGGUAGGGGAGAGCGGAACUCCUGGUGGAGCGGUGAAAUGCGUAGAUAUCAGGAGGAACACCGGUGGCGAAGGCGGCUCUCUGGUCCACAACUGACGCUGAGGUGCGAAAGCUAGGGGAGCAAACGGGAUUAGAUACCCCGGUAGUCCUAGCUGUAAACGAUGGGCACUAGCUUGGGGUCUCCCUGUGUGAUCCCAGGUGAAGCAAAAGUGAUAAGUGCCCCGCCUGGGGAGUAUGGUCGCAAGGCUGAA